rnacentral:lncRNA from 1 species
CCUCUCCAUGCCUAGAGACAUACCGGUGAUGGCAUGAGGAGACGGUCCCCAAAUUGUCUUCCGGGCAUUGGUAUUACAGGUUUGACAAUGAUGUGAAAAACCACACCCUGUAGGCCGAAUCCAGCCUCGAGGCCUGGUGAUACCCGGCAGGAAAGAAGCGAAGUGGAAGAUGGCUCAGGAAGUCUGACUCCAGGCUAAUUCCUUGAGGAAAGCUGGCUUGCCAGGAGCAGUGGAGGCAAGCUAUUGGCUCAGAGUGAAGGAAGAUUUCUGAAAAUACAAAACAUGAUGUCAGGGGGGAGCAAUCUCUGAGGGUCUUUUCCCCAGACUAUGG